rnacentral:lncRNA from 1 species
CAAGCAAACAGGCUGCUCUGAUUCUGGUGCUGCUGCUUCUCCUCCAAUAGAGGAUUCUCAAAAGGGUGAUUAGCAUAUUAGGAUAAGCAUCAAUG